AACGCACCUUGCGCCCUUUGGUAUUCCGAAGGGCAUGCCUGUUUGAGUGUCAUUAAAUUAUCAACCUUGCUUGCUUUUACUAGCUCGCUUGGCUUGGAUGUGGGGGUUUGCUGGCUUCCUUCAGUGGAUGGUCUGCUCCCCUUAAAUGCAUUAGUGGGAUCUCUUGUGGACCGUCACUUGGUGUGAUAAUUAUCUAUGCCAUCUGACUUUGAAGCAAAUUUUAUGGGAACCUGCUUAUAACCGUCUCUCGCAGCAAUGCGGAUUGGGGGUCUGAGUCCUUUAUUGGGCACUUCCCUCGUCGGACAACUCUCUUAACAUUUUGACCUCAAAUCAGGUAGGACUACCCGCUGAACUUAA
rnacentral:misc_RNA from 2 species